UGAUGUAGCGCAGUAGGUAGCGCACGUCAUUGGUAAUGACGAGGUCACGGGUUCGAAUCCCGUCAUCA
rnacentral:tRNA from 1 species